AAAAUGCCGUCGACUUUAGAAAUCGCCCUCUAUCCCCA
rnacentral:tRNA from 1 species